rnacentral:lncRNA from 1 species
AGCUCCUAACCGCGAGUGAUCCGCCAGCCUCGGCCUCCCGAGGUGCCGGGAUUGCAGACGGAGUCUUGUUCACUCAGUGCUCAAUGGUGCCCAGGCUGGAGUGCAGUGGCGUGAUCUCCACUCGCUACAAACUCCACCUCCCAGCCGCCUGCCUUGGCCUCCCAAAGUGCCGAGAUUGCAGCCUCUGCCCGGCCGCCACCCCGUCUGGGAAGUGAGGAGCGUCUCUGCCUGGCCACCCAUCGUCUGGGAUGUGAGGAGCCCCUCUGCCUGGCUGCCCAGUCUGGAAAGUGAGGAGCAUCUCUGCCCGGCCGCCAUCCCAUCUAGGAAGUGAGGAGCGCCUCUUCCCGGCCGCCAUCACAUCUAGGAAGUGAGGAGCGUCUCUGCCCGGCCGCCCAUCUUCUGAGAUGUGGGGAGCGCCUCUGCCCCGCCGCCCCGUCUGGGAUGUGAGGAGCACCUCUGCCCGGCUGCGACCCCGUCUGGGAGGGGAAGAGCGUCUCUACCCGGCCGCCCCAUCUGAGAAGUGAGGAGACCCUCUGACUGGCAACUGACCCGUCUGAGAAGUGAGGAGCCCCUCCGCCCACAGCCGCCCCGUCUGAGAAGGGUCCUCCCGGGCACUGUGCUUCAGCCACAGGGCCUCUGAACAUGUGAUUCCAAAUGCCAGAAACAUCAGAUGUCACGCCAAAUCUCUUUUCUCAGUGAAACCUUCCCUGAUUCCUCUAGACAAGGUGUCGAAGCAAGGAUGUGGUGAGUCCUCUGGUGCAAAAUUCUGGAUUUCCUUGGGUCUUCUGGUAGGAUCCCUGAUCAACAAUGCUGACAAUACAGGAGCCAAAAAUCUGUAUAUCAUCUCCGUGAAGAGGAUCAGGGACGGCUGAACAGACUUCCCUGCCAGUGUGGGUGACAUGGGGAUGGCCACAGUCAAGAAAGACAAACCAGAGCUCAGAAAAAAGGUACAUCCAGCAGUGGUCACUUGACAACAAAAGUCAUAUGGAGAAAAGACGGUGUGUUUCUUUAUUUUGAAGGUAAUGCAGGGGUCAUAAUAAAAAACAAAGACGAGAUGAAGGGUUCUGCCAUUACAGGACCAGUAGCAAAGGAGUGUGCAGACUUGUGGCCCCGGAUUGCGUUCAAUACUGGCAGCAUUGCAUGAUUGUCUGGUAUAUUUGUAAAAAAAAAUCCUAAAACCCAUUAAAAAGUAUUUGUCCUCUGCCC